CCCUGGCAACCACUGAUCUUGUGCAGGCCCAUAGUUUUGCCUUUUCCAGAAUUUCUUAAGGUUGGAAUCAGGGUUCCUUUUGGAACUGGGCGUCUUUCGAUCAGCGAUACGAAUUUAAGCUUCCUGCAUGUCUUUUCGUGGCUUGAUAGCUCAUUUCUUUUCAGCACUGAGUAAUAUUCCAUUAUCUGCAUGGAACCCUGUUGACGGAGACACGCUUUGAGGUAGAAAAAUCGGAGAGUUGGGGGAGAGGGGGCUGUACAAGUUUGUCCCCAUGGUUCCCACCUGACAAACAUGGUGGUUAUAUUCAGCCACAUCGCCCGGAAUUUCUUGAGAUGGGACGGAGAAGGACACGUGAGAGCUGAUAUGUGUUUCACACGGGACAGUUAAAACCAGAAACGGAGGAAGUAUGCAGAGGAAGGCACCCAGGGAGAAGAGAGACUUCUGAGCUGAUCUUGGUGGCUAAAGAAACCUGAAUUUGAAGGUGGAAGUGAUGGUGCACACCCACAAUCCCAGCACUUUGGGAGGCUGAGGCAGGACCAUCAUAAGUUCAAGCCCAGCCUGGGCAACUUAGGAAGAUCCUGUCUUAAAAUUUAAAAAGAAAUUCAGAAGAGGUGAGGAUGUAGCUCAGUGUGAAGGUCCUGGGUUCAACCCCCAUCACACACACGUACACACACACACACACACACACACACACACACACACACAGAUGAAUUCAGCCCAGGCACAAAGCAAGGGCUCAGCCAUUUUCUAAUGCUCACGUAUCCAGGAUGCAGGGCCUGAUUUGCAGUGACAGUCUUGACAAAUGUUAGCAGUUUUCAUCCAGGUAUAAGCAAGAAACUAAAAAAAAUUCACACGACAAUUGUUAAUAGCCUGGAUCAGUCAGAAGUUGUGUUGAGAGAAUGAUAUUAGAAUAAAAGUUAAAGCACAAUGGCUUAUAUUUGGAUACUCACAAAAUUUCACAACCUAUUUUACAAGUAUGCAUAUGUUUUUCAGGAUACACACCAAGCCCACUAGCUGGGGCCAACCAAUAAAAAAGAAAGAGUGAAGUUGGAGAGCAAAGGUAAAAAACCUAAUAAAACCAGAAACAGGUCUUUCGUGAACCCCAG
rnacentral:lncRNA from 1 species